AAAAUCAAUCAUACAUUGUCACGCAAUGUGGUCCCUUUUUACGUAAAAAAAAAAAAAGCGAAAAUGUAAUAUACUGAAUUUUUAAUAUAAAAAUAAGUGUAAAUAAAAAUAGUGUAAGAUACUAUUUUUAUUGGACUUAGAGAAGUAAAAUAAAAGUCGGAAAUGACUUAUGCUGAAAUUGGAAUGGAAACAGAAAAUUUAGAAUUUUCUGUAAGAUACGGGGCUGGUAUUAUAACAGAAAAUUCACGGUGUUAGAAAAUUAUAAAAAUUGAAGAAUUUGUCGGAAUUAUUUUUCUGAGGAUACAUUUAAAGUUUCAUGUAAUUCUGAUACCCGAAAAGUGAAAAAUAAAAUUUUACUGCUAUCUGCUAGAGAUUCGGAUCGGCAGAGCUUUCGGUGGCCAAAAAUGGUCCAAACUGAAAAGUUAAGAUAUCGUUCUUUAUAUUAAUUUUAACCGAUCCCGACUGUCAAAUUUGAGAGCAAACGGAUAUUCAGAAGGGCUCCGGCGAGAAAUAUCAGAUUCUGAAUUGCUAAACUGAAAAUUGUAUUAGUGUUGGGGGACCAAAAUGUAAGGAUUAAUUCCUGCCUUGUGGG
rnacentral:lncRNA from 1 species